UAAUAAAACAAGAACAAAUAUUAAAUAUUUUAUUUUUAUUAAUAAUCCUAUAUAAACAAAAUACUAAACAUACUUAACCGCAAGGUAAUAAAAUAAAUCUUUAAAAGCCCUUUUUUAAGGUACCUUCUGCAUCAUGGCUUAGCAACUCUUAACCUAAUUUAGCUCUAUCCCGAAAAUUAACGAGCUGUUUUUAUUUUGCUAAGAGCCCAUUAUAUUAUAUUUCAUGAUAAAUAAAAAAAAUAAAAACAGAGGCUACAUACCUUCCGCGUUAAUAAAUAGCUGGUUUUCCAAGAAAUCUAUGUAAGUAGAUAAAUUUACUCUAAGUAAAUAUUUUCAAGAUAGGGGGAUAAGCUCCUCUCUUUUCUCUAUUAAAACUUUUAAUUCUUUAUUUUUAAGUAGGCCUCAUAACAGCCACCUUUAUUAAUACGUAAUAGUUAAUUUACCAUUUUAAAAAAAUAUUUUAUAAAAUUAUGAGCAAACUAUUAGAAAAUCUAGUUUAAUACUUCUUCACUAGAAAUAUUCUGCUAAGAUAAGUAUUUUCUAUUUUAAUAAAUUUUUAACUCUUAACCUAAAAAUACCCUACUAUUUAAUUAAAAAAUAUUUUUAAGGAACUAAGCAAACCUAGCCUCGACUGUUUACCAAAAACAUUGCUUCACGUUUAUAUAUGAGAAGUUAAUCCUGCCCAGUGACCCAAGGGUUAAACGGCCGCGGUACCCUGACCGUGCUAAGGCAGCAUAAUAAAUCGCCCUUUAAUUGUGGGCUUGUAUGAACGGAUAAACGAAGGCUUAACUGUCUCUUUUAUAAUAAUAAAAAUUGGCCUUUAGGUGAAAAGACCUAAAUUAAAUUAGAGGACAAAAAGACCCCGUAGAGCUUCGUACUUUCUUAAACCCAAAUUUAUAAACUAUACUAAAAAAUAUUUUAAUUAAAAGUACUUGGCUGGGGCGGCUAUGGAGUAAAUACCCUCCACAAACAAUAAAAGAUUCAACAAAUCUUACUUACUGAUCCUACAUUAGAUCAAAGAAAAUAGCUACCUCGGGGAUAACAGAUUAAUCCCUUUUGAGAGUCCACAUUGACAAAGGGUUUUGACACCUCGAUGUUGGCUUAGGGUCACCAAGGGGUCAGCAGCAGCCCCUAAAGGUAGGUUUGUUCAACCUUUAAAACCCUACAUGAGCUGAGUUCAGACCGGCGCAAGCUAGGUCAGCUUCUAUCCCUAAUAUUAAAUAUUUCUCCAAUUGUACGAAAGGACCCUGGAGAAAAAAUUAUUUUUUUCUAAGAAAUCUUAUAAUAACUUCUUAAACAUCUUAAUUUU
rnacentral:rRNA from 1 species